rnacentral:rRNA from 1 species
CCCAGACAGCCAGGAUGUUGGCUUAGAAGCAGCCAUCAUUUAAAGAAAGCGUAAUAGCUCACUGGUCGAGUCGGCCUGCGCGGAAGAUGUAACGGGGCUAAACCAUGCACCGAAGCUGCGGCAGCGACGCUGUGCGUUGUUGGGUAGGGGAGCGUUCUGUAAGCCUGCGAAGGUGGCCUGUGAGGGUUGCUGGAGGUAUCAGAAGUGCGAAUGCUGACAUAAGUAACGAUAAAGCGGGUGAAAAGCCCGCUCGCCGGAAGACCAAGGGUUCCUGUCCAACGCUAAUCGGGGCAGGGUGAGUCGACCCCUAAGGCGAGGCCGAAAGGCGUAGUCGAUGGGAAACGGGUUAAUAUUCCCGUACUUGGUGUUACUGCGAAGGGGGGACGGAGAAGGCUAUGUUGGCCGGGCGACGGUUGUCCCGGUUUAAGCGUGUAGGUGUGUGUUCCAGGUAAAUCCGGUUCACUUUAACACUGAGGCGUGACGACGAGGCACUACGGUGCUGAAGCAACAAAUGCCCUGCUUCCAGGAAAAGCCUCUAAGCAUCAGGUAACAUCAAAUCGUACCCCAAACCGACACAGGUGGUCAGGUAGAGAAUACCAAGGCGCUUGAGAGAACUCGGGUGAAGGAACUAGGCAAAAUGGUGCCGUAACUUCGGGAGAAGGCACGCUGACACGUAGGUGAAGUGAUUUACUCAUGGAGCUGAAGUCAGUCGAAGAUACCAGCUGGCUGCAACUGUUUAUUAAAAACACAGCACUGUGCAAACACGAAAGUGGACGUAUACGGUGUGACGCCUGCCCGGUGCCGGAAGGUUAAUUGAUGGGGUCAGCGCAAGCGAAGCUCCUGAUCGAAGCCCCGGUAAACGGCGGCCGUAACUAUAACGGUCCUAAGGUAGCGAAAUUCCUUGUCGGGUAAGUUCCGACCUGCACGAAUGGCGUAAUGAUGGCCAGGCUGUCUCCACCCGAGACUCAGUGAAAUUGAACUCGCUGUGAAGAUGCAGUGUACCCGCGGCAAGACGGAAAGACCCCGUGAACCUUUACUAUAGCUUGACACUGAACAUUGAGCCUUGAUGUGUAGGAUAGGUGGGAGGCUUUGAAG